rnacentral:rRNA from 1 species
AUACGGAGGAUGCAAGCGUUAUCCGGAUUUAUUGGGUUUAAAGGGUGCGUAGGCGGUUCGACAAGUCAGGGGUGAAAGCCCAGUGCCUAACACUGGAACUGCCUUUGAUACUGCCGAGCUGGAAUACGGAUGCCGUGGGAGGAAUGAGUAGUGUAGCGGUGAAAUGCAUAGAUAUUACUCAGAACACCGAUUGCGAAGGCAUCUCACGAAUCCGUCAUUGACGCUGAGGCACGAAAGCGUGGGGAUCAAACAGGAUUAGAUACCCUGGUAGUCCACGCAGUAAACGAUGAUAACUAACCGUCGGCGAUACACAGUCGGUGGCCAAGCGAAAGCGAUAAGUUAUCCACCUGGGGAGUACGUUCGCAAGAAUGAAACUUAAAGGAAUUGACGGGG